AUAACAAUACAGGACUCUUUCAAGGCCCUGUAAUUGGAAUAAGUCCACUUUAAAUCCUUUAACGAGGAUCUCUUGGAGGGUAAGUCUGGUACAGAGCGACUGACCCGUGCGUGCUGCAGCUGAAACUCCAC